rnacentral:tRNA from 5 species
GCCGGGGUGGCGGAAGUGGUAGACGCAAGGGACUUAAAAUCCCUCGGAACUUAGUUCCGUGCCGGUUCGAUUCCGGCCCUCGGCACCA